ACAGUCAGAGCGAACAGAAGGGAGCUUGCUCCCGGAUGUUAGCGGCGGACGGGUGAGUAACACGUGGGUAACCUGCCUGUAAGACUGGGAUAACUCCGGGAAACCGGAGCUAAUACCGGAUAGUUCCUUGAACCGCAUGGUUCAAGGAUGAAAGACGGUUUCGGCUGUCACUUACAGAUGGACCCGCGGCGCAUUAGCUAGUUGGUGGGGUAAUGGCUCACCAAGGCGACGAUGCGUAGCCGACCUGAGAGGGUGAUCGGCCACACUGGGACUGAGACACGGCCCAGACUCCUACGGGAGGCAGCAGUAGGGAAUCUUCCGCAAUGGACGAAAGUCUGACGGAGCAACGCCGCGUGAGUGAUGAAGGUUUUCGGAUCGUAAAGCUCUGUUGUUAGGGAAGAACAAGUGCGAGAGUAACUGCUCGCACCUUGACGGUACCUAACCAGAAAGCCACGGCUAACUACGUGCCAGCAGCCGCGGUAAUACGUAGGUGGCAAGCGUUGUCCGGAAUUAUUGGGCGUAAAGGGCUCGCAGGCGGUUUCUUAAGUCUGAUGUGAAAGCCCCCGGCUCAACCGGGGAGGGUCAUUGGAGACUGGGAAA
rnacentral:rRNA from 1 species